rnacentral:tRNA from 1 species
UCCUGGUUUGCUCAGUUGGCAGAGCGCUCCACUGGAAAUGGGGAGGUCCCUGGAUGGAUACAAGGACCGGGCC